UACGAACCGUCCAAACGUUAUUCGGAAUUACUGGGCUUAAAGGGUGCGUAGGCGGCGCGGAAAGUUGGGUGUGAAAUCCCUCGGCUCAACCGAGGAACUGCGCCCGAAACUACCGUGCUCGAGGGAGAUAGAGGUGAGCGGAACUUAGGGUGGAGCGGUGAAAUGCGUUGAUAUCCUAAGGAACACCCGUGGCGAAAGCGGCUCACUGGGUCUCUUCUGACGCUGAGGCACGAAAGCUAGGGUAGCGAACGGG
rnacentral:rRNA from 1 species